rnacentral:rRNA from 1 species
UACGUAGGUGGCAAGCGUUGUCCGGAUUUAUUGGGCGUAAAGGGCGCGCAGGCGGUCCGUUAAGUCCGAGGUGAAAUCUCCCGGCUCAACUGGGAGGGGUCUUCGGAUACUGGCGGACUUGAGGAGUGCAGAGGUGAGUGGAAUUCUCGGUGUAGUGGUGAAAUGCGUAGAUAUCGAGAGGAACACCAGUGGCGAAGGCGACUACCUGGCCUGUUCUUGACGCUGAGGCGCGAAAGCUAGGGGAGCAAACGGG